rnacentral:rRNA from 1 species
AACGCGAAGAACCUUACCUGGGCUCGAAGCGCAGUGGACCGGGGUAGAAAUAUCCCUUCCUCGCAAGAGGCUGCUGCGGAGGUGCUGCAUGGCUGUCGUCAGCUCGUGUCGUGAGAUGUUGGGUUAAGUCCCGCAACGAGCGCAACCCUUAUCCCUAGUUGCCAUCGGGUCAAGCCGGGCACUCUAGUGAAACCGCCCAGGAUAACUGGGAGGAAGGUGGGGAUGACGUCAAGUCCUCAUGGCCUUUAUGUCCAGGGCUACACACGUGCUACAAUGGUCGGUACAAACCGUCGCAAACCCGCGAGGGGGAGCUAAUCGGAAAAAGCCGGCCUCAGUUCGGAUUGGAGUCUGCAACCCGACUCCAUGAAGCUGGAAUCGCUAGUAAUCGCGGAUCAGAACGCCGCGGUGAAUACGUUCCCGGGCCUUGUA